UACAGAGGGGGCAAGCGUUGUUCGGAAUUACUGGGCGUAAAGGGCGCGUAGGCGGCCGACUAAGUCAGACGUGAAAUCCCCAGGCUCAACCUGGGAACUGCGUCUGAUACUGGAUGGCUUGAGUUCGGGAGAGGGAAGUGGAAUUCCAGGUGUAGCGGUGAAAUGCGUAGAUAUCUGGAGGAACACCGGUGGCGAAGGCGGCUUCCUGGACCGACACUGACGCUGAGGCGCGAAAGCGUGGGGAGCAAACAGG
rnacentral:rRNA from 1 species